AUUGAACGCUGGCGGCAGGCCUAAUACAUGCAAGUCGAGCGAGCGGCGGACGGGUGAGUCAUGCCUGGCAAUUGCUAAGUCGAGGGGGAUAACAGUUGGAAACGACUGCUAAUACCGCAUACGACUGGCAUGCUCAGGUGGGGUUAGCUAGUGGGUGAGGUAAUGGCUCACCAAGGCGACGAUCCCUAGCUGGUCCGAGAGGAUGAUCGGCAACACUGGAACUGAGACACGGUCCAGACUCCUACGGGAGGCAGCAGUGGGGAAUAUUCCACAAUGGGGGAAAGCCUGAUGGAGCAAUGCCGCGUGUGUGAAGAAGGUCUUCGGGUUGUAAAGCACUUUCAGUGAGGAGGCGUUACUCGCAGAAGAAGCAACGGCUAACUCCGUGCCAGCAGCCGCGGUAAUAC
rnacentral:rRNA from 1 species